rnacentral:rRNA from 1 species
UACAGAGGGGGCGAGCGUUGUUCGGAAUUACUGGGCGUAAAGGGCGCGUAGGCGGCCUGUUAAGUCGAACGUGAAAUCCCCGGGCUCAACCCGGGAACUGCGUCCGAUACUGGCAGGCUUGAAUUCGGGAGAGGGAUGCGGAAUUCCAGGUGUAGCGGUGAAAUGCGUAGAUAUCUGGAGGAACACCGGUGGCGAAGGCGGCAUCCUGGACCGAGAUUGACGCUGAUGCGCGAAAGCCAGGGGAGCAAACGGG